rnacentral:rRNA from 1 species
GCUUACGGCCAUACCGCUCUGAUCAAGCCCGAUCUCGUCUGAUCUCGGAAGCUAAACAAAGCCGGGCAUGGUUAGUACUUGAAUGGGAGACUGCUUGGGAAUACCGUGUGCUGUAAGUU